UACGAAGGGGGCUAGCGUUGCUCGGAAUCACUGGGCGUAAAGGGUGCGUAGGCGGGUCUUAAGUCAGGGGUGAAAUCCUGGAGCUCAACUCCAGAACUGCCUUCGAUACUGUAGAGCUUGAGUUCGGGAGAGGUGAGUGGAACUGCGAGUGUAGAGGUGAAAUUCGUAGAUAUUCGCAAGAACACCAGUGGCGAAGGCGGCUCACUGGCCCGAUACUGACGCUGAGGUGCGAAAGCGUGGGGAGCAAACAGG
rnacentral:rRNA from 1 species